AACGAACGCUGGCGGCAGGCUUAACACAUGCAAGUCGAACGCCCCGCAAGGGGAGUGGCAGACGGGUGAGUAACGCGUGGGAACGUGCCCUUCGCUUCGGAAUAGCCCCGGGAAACUGGGAGUAAUACCGGAUACGCCGUAUUGGGAAAGAUUUAUCGGCGAAGGAUCGGCCCGCGUUGGAUUAGCUAGUUGGAGGUGUAAUGGACCCCAAGGCUACGAUCCAUAGCUGGUCUGAGAGGAUGAUCAGCCACACUGGGACUGAGACACGGCCCAGACUCCUACGGGAGGCAGCAGUGGGGAAUCUUGGACAAUGGGCGCAAGCCUGAUCCAGCCACGCCGCGUGAGUGAAGAAGGCCUUAGGGUUGUAAAACUCUUUCGCCGGAGAAGAUAAUGACGGUAUCCGGAGAAGAAGCCCCGGCUAACUUCGUGCCAGCCGCCGCGGUAACAC
rnacentral:rRNA from 1 species